UGCUCCCUAGCCUUUGAGUUUCAGAAUGGCUCUCCUAAAAGGAACACUCCUAUUUGUCCAGGUUGCGAUCUCAUAUUCACUCUGGGCCAGACCAACUACACAACUCCUUAAUUCUUCAGUUGGCCGGGAGUGAGGUUCCAGGAUGCCACAGCCCUGUGCUCUGAAGACAACAAGUUCACCUAUUCAGAUGGAUCUGAUUCACCUGACCUUAGGAGGAAUACACUGAAUUAUUUUUCAUGCUAGAGCAUAUUCCCAG
rnacentral:lncRNA from 1 species